GGCCUGGUAGGGCAGUUGGUGAGAAUGCCAGCCUGUCACGCUGGAGGUGGAGGGUUCGAGCCCCUUCCAGGUCGCCA
rnacentral:tRNA from 1 species